GGGAGGAGCCCGGCGGACGAGUUUAUGGCGGUUCUUUUGACUCCGUGGUUCCGUAGCCUUGGCAGCCAGAGCCAGUUUCCCGGCCCAGGGCGGAGUGUGUCAAGUUUCGUGAGCCCUAGAGAUGUUUUCUGCCGGAAAAGGAGGACAGGAUGCUCUGGUCCUUUUCAAGCUACUCAGCUAUGGGAUGGUAUUAUUCACUCCCUUCAGACUCAAGUGGUAAUAAAAAGAAGGAGGCAUCAUUUACGAACAUACAGAGACUGUUUUACUGGUUCUGAUGCUGUUGAUGUAGUACUAAGUCAUCUUAUGCAAAAUACGUGCCUGAGCAGUAAUGAUAUCUCUCGUCUUAAAGGAGUUCGUCUUUGUCAACUUCUAAUGAACCAUAAAGUAUUUGAACCAGUAGAAAUGAAGCUAUUCAAAAAUGAAAAGGAAUUGGAAUUUGAGGAUUCAAACAAUAGUCUCUACAGGUUUCUAGGGAAUAAAUCAUCUUAUGUUUUUUGCAAAAGAAAAAAGGAUUCUGAGACUGGGUUAAAUGAUGAAAUAAAAGCAAAGGAAUCUUUAAGACCAGAAGGCAAAGUGAUUUCAAAUCCUCUAGCACAAGAGAUUGGUGAGGAAAGAAUUGAGGAACUUAUUGAUACAAUGAGUGGGACUCUGGCUUUACCUCCAAACAUCACAGUUGACAAACCUGUUCUUCCACUUUCAAAAGAAGGAUUGAUAACUGGCUUAAUUCAGCAAUUGAAUGCUUGGAAUAUUUCCCUGACCAGUUAAUAGUUACUGUCAGUGAGCAGUUAGUUCAAAACAGAAAUGAAGAGACAAGAUUGAAUACACAGAAAAAGUUACUCUUUGAUGUCAUAGUAAAAUAUUAUAAUCAAGAGAGAGAUUGCUUAUUAACUGAUGAGUAUUUUGAUAUUCAUUCAGGAAUUAUUGAACUUUUAGGUAAGAGAUGUUUAAACUUCAGUUUUUUUGCAUAAUCUUUUUUAAUAAUACAAGUUGCAGAAGAUUUUAUGUAUUAUAUGAGUAUUACAUUUUAAUAUUUUUCUUCUAUGAUGUCAAAGUACUUCAUAGAGUCUUUUUUCAAUUCACUUGGCCUGCCACGUAAAUUGUACUAUCAAAUGUAAUACUGUAGUAUAGCAAUUAGAUCUAAGGUAAUUCUAUCACAGGGACAUUCUAAGAAAAAUUUUGAUAUAGUACUAGAGGAUUAAAGAACUGAGGUAUCUGGAAAUAUUGUAUUAAUUUGAUGACCUUUUAGCAAAAUAAAAAUUGAGUGACACAUCAUGUCUCUUUUUUAGCUUUGUAGGUGGCCAUAUAAUUUCAUGUUAAAAACAAAUUGCUGUUUGACAAUGCUGGAUAUAAUUAUGCAGGUGUUUGGCAUAAUAUGUAGAUAAUUUCCUGUGUGUUUGAAAUAUUUCCUAAUAAAAACUUUCAAGUGUAAAAAAGAAUCUGCAAACCAAACACAGUAUCAUAGCAUUUUAAUUGACUGCUACGUACUAUAAUCUCUGGGGUUUUUUUGUCCCUUGCUUUGUCUUCUUUGUAACCCAUGUAACAGAAAAUGAGAAAAGAACAGAAGCACUUGAAGCAACACAACUAUAUCUAAGAUUAUUGUUGCCCAACGUUAGAGAAGAAUUACGAUGGCUACUCACUUUUAUGGCAACUGCAUCAGAACCCAAUGCCUACAAAUUACAAAAACAGUUUGUUCAAAAAGAGUCAUGUACCACAAUAUUCAUUGCAGCUCUAUUUACAAUAGCCAGGACAAGGAAGCAACCUAAGUGUCCAUCAACAGAUGAAUGGUUAAAGAAGAUGUGGCACAUAUAUACAA